rnacentral:lncRNA from 1 species
UUACCACACGACGAAUUAAUAACGAAGCGGUGGCGCGGCAGGGAGGCUUAUCAUCUCGUCUGCUUUCGUACGAACUCGUCUGUUUUGGAGUCCUCAGAAAGAUUUCUGUUUCUUAGGACAUCGUUGAAAUCGACGUGGUUAUAUUUGGCGUUUAUGUCUCGGUUGGGCUUGCUACACUAAAGGCAAUUUCAUUCACGUGUUUUCUGACGAUCUGAGAUUCUACACAAUGUUUUCCUUUCUGGUGGGAUUUGUCUCAGGUACAGCAGUUGGAAUCUACCUGUCACAGAAUUAUGAGGUCCCAGAUAUGAAGAAAGUCGUGGACACCAUCAAAGAAUCGGCUAAGAGAUACGAGAAGAAAUCUGACGGGGCAACAAAGAACGACUCGUGAUAACAGAAGAAAUAGAUAGCAAAGAUGACGGUGCAUAGGAAUGAGCACAGUGUAAUUAAUACCGUCUGUGACUGUCUGGAACAGUCUGAGAUGGUGAUCAGAGGCUGAUAUUCAACAAAGCAUGGACAUCUGAUGACAGCGAGUCCUAGUGAGCUCAAGGAGAAAGAGUUACAUGUAGCACUCUUCCCCACAUCCCAUAGAAAUGCUAACCUCCCUGAGUCAACUUUGAGUUAACCCACUUGUCAUUGAACCACUCAAAACAACUCCAGCCAGUCACUUUAUUGCUGGAAUUCUCUGCCAGCUUUGGGUGGUUCAGUGACCAAAACAUCAAAGCAGCGCAUGUAUGGAUUAUUACUUGCAGAUUGCAUCAAUUUGUACCUUAGAUAGGGACUUAGUAUUCCAAAUUUGAUAGGAGUGCGGAAACACAGAAUGCACCAUUGUCAGGGCACAGCAUUCAGUUGUGAUGGCUUCAUGAUGUACAGCAUGCUGGAGUCACCUGGUGUCACAUACAUGUACAUCCAUGACUGACUUGUGCCAGGUAUUUUGGUUUGCAGUCAUAUGACAGUCACAUGACUGAGAUUGGUUGAAGCAAUGGAUCACAAUUUGUUGUACAUAGGUCUAGUACGUAAGUACAUGUACAUACAUGUAUUGUUGGUUUGACAGUGUCAAAUUGACACUGGAAAAAUGUGAAAACUGACAACCAGACAAUACUUUUGAAGUUGUUCUUAGUUCUUAAACUGAGAUUGGUUGUGAAGUUGUUCCUAGUUCUUAAAUUCACUAUCUAGACUGUAAUUGAAUCCAUUGUUCAUGUACAUGUAAGUUGUUUAAUCACAAUACCAAUCAUAAGACCAGUCACAAGACCAGUCACAAGAUCCAAUUGUAAGUGAAAGUGUAAACAGUGACAAAGGAAUGGUUUUGUUCCCAGUUUAUUUAAAUAGUUUGUGACCUUGCUUCAGACUGAAUAAUUUGUGAUGGGCUAACAGGGACUUACAACAGACUCAACCACAGCCUUACAUGACAUACCAUUAAAAGUGAUAAAUGUUGGCCAAGUUUGUUUUUAGUAAUGCCACCGAUGUGUGAUACAUAUUUGUAUAUGUGCAAAUAUAAGUUGUUCACUUUUGGUAUGACACGUGAUAAAAUAAAGUUUUCUUUUGUUUCCAAACCCCAUGUAAUAGGAUUAUUUUGAUUAUAUUCUGCUUAGCCUUUGCUGUAGAUCACCACGCUGUGAUUCCUUGCUUAGUUCAUCUCGGUCAAAGUGUCUAUCAGAGCUAAGUCACAGCAGGGGAAAGUUGCCUCAGAAUGGUUUCUCUUGAUGCCUGUGGUUGAUUUGGAAUAGACGUUGAUUAGACUUUUUUUUUUUCUAAAUUGCAAUUGAAAUUGUGAUUACUUGAUAGAGCCGCCACCACCACAGCAAAAUACUUCAAGCAAAAUCAGCACACAAGUCCAAAUCACAUGUACAGUUGUAUAUUGCUAUUGCCAGCUCUGAAUUCACAAGACUUCUGUUUGUUGUGAUCCGAACUGAUGGGCAGUGUUUCAAACAUUAUUAGCUUUUAGUGUGUACAGACAUGUACGUAUUGGUACAUUCAAUUUGUCUCACUGUCUUGGAGUGCUGGGUUGCAAUGAAAGAUUUGUAGUAAACAAUCCAUUUGUGCAGUACAAAGAAAUCAUUAAUGACUUUUGUAUCAAGUUCAGAUUAAGAAAACAUCUUCACAAAACUAAUUAAAGAUGGAAUACAUUUCAAAUCCCUACUUAUUCUGGAAGGAGUUUUGCAUUGAUACAAGGAUUCUCUGAUUUUAUCAGGUUAUGAUUGGAUAAUGUCCACUUUUUGAAUAAGUCUUCUUGAUAAAUGGUGACAGUGGAUGGCAACAUCUACUAGGCGAAUUAAUUGUGUUUUACAUGUAUACAUGCAUGUGCUACAAAUAAUGGUUAUCAGAAAAUACAGUUUUUUUCUUCACUUUCUUUCAUGACUCAAAGACUGUUGUUGAAACAUUCCUAAUACAUUGCUUUUUGUUCUUUACACAGUUGGAGUUGUAUCAUAUUAAUCUACGUAGUUUC